UACGUAGGAUGCUAGCGUUGUUCGGAAUUACUGGGCGUAAAGCGCGCGUAGGCGGACCUGCAAGUCGGGGGUGAAAGCCCGAGGCUCAACCUCGGAACUGCCUUCGAUACUGCGGGUCUCGAGUCCGGGAGAGGUGAGUGGAAUUCCUAGUGUAGAGGUGAAAUUCGUAGAUAUUCGCAAGAACACCAGUGGCGAAGGCGGCUCACUGGCCCGGUACUGACGCUGAGGUGCGAAAGCGUGGGGAGCAAACAGG
rnacentral:rRNA from 1 species